CGCGCGCGCACACACACACACACACACACACACACACACACCCUCACAUAAUUAGUAUUCAGCUUUUUUCAGACUUUUUUUUUUCCCAACUUGCAGAAUUAAAUGUGUUCUCGCUCUGUCUCUCUCUCUGUUUCUGUCUCUCUUUCUCUUCCCCCAUACCAGGAAUCUGUCUUGUGUGAUGUGAUGGCCAAGGCCCUGAACUAACUACUAAGCAUAGGGCUAAUAAGAAAUGGAUAAAGAUUACUUUGGAUACUCUUUCCCAUGCACAAAGGCAUGCUUAGAUGUAAUGUCUGUUACUAGGUGCUAUGUGAAUGUGUACAUUACAUCUAUAACAAAAUAUCUGCUGAUAUUCCAUAUGUCAUGUUUUAAAGUCAUUCUAAGUUAUACAAAAUAAUAGGCUCUGAUGAAAUAAUUGUGCUUUCCCUUUCUUCCAUGCUGUCAUGUGACCGUUCAUAAUCUGUUGGAGGGUUCUCGAGUCCCAGGAGCAGGGGAAUCGCAGAGAGCCAUGAAUCUGCCUGCUAUGUAAGCUCUCUAGCAAGGAAAAGCUGACCCAGGUGUGAAGCAGACCAGUACACCCCACAGACACUAAAACAGUUGACCCCGACGUGAUUUGAACACGCAACCUUCUGAUCUGGAGUCAGACGCGCUACCGUUGCGCCACGAGGUCCUGCGGGAGCCCCCCUUUUCCUUUACCUGUCAACCUGAUCUAUGAAAUUAAUCAUCUGUACCAAGUAAGUGAAGUUUAAUUGUGCCGAAUCCCAUCUGCGCGACAGCGGCGUCUCCUUACACCCGCUCUUGUCCUUAGUUGAAAUGAUCGAUUUCAUACUGCGAGAGUUCUUUCUAAUCUGAUCACUGGAUCUGAAACUGCCCCUAAGAAGAGCAGGAAAUCUUUUUUGCCGGAGGGAGCGAGUGAUCCCGUCACCAGGGUUUGACUAUUAAAGCGCCUGUCUGGGAAACUGCAGGCGGGUUUCGAAUCUCAAUGAGAUUUUUUCCCGAGAUGUAAAUAAGGGAGAGGUCGCUUUGAACUCCUAGAAAAAGAUAUUCUGAAAAAGGAAUCCUGCGCUCUGGACCCAUUUUUCAAGAUUAAGAGCUGGAAAUUUUAAUUUUCAGAGGAGGUGCGUCUGUUUUACAGUAGUGGAUCAUUUUUCAGAAUAUCCUGUCCAGUAGUCUCAAAAUUGUGUGCCUCUGAUUCUCCUUAUCUCUUUUCCUUGCUUUUCCUAGGCUAGAUGCUGCAUACUAUAUAUCAGCAUCUAGUAUACCAUAUAUUUUACUUCUAUAUUUAUUGAUUACCUAUUGAAAAUAACUAAACUAAAAGCUAAGGCACAGCCUCUUUGGGGGCCCGUCUGAGAGGUCAGCUUGCCCUCCACAUAACAUAUCCUCUUUGGCUACCACAGCCACCUCACCAUAGCAUGGCUACCACUCCCUGCUAAGAACAAACACCAGGAAGUUGACCCAGAGGGAUGGUGGCCUCUCUAAGAAAUCAGACUCUCAGACUUGAUAUAUGUCCCUCAUUUUGGUUGUGGAUCCCCUGUGACACAGAACACGUGGUAAGUUAUUGCAGCAGAGGCUGCUAGAGUAGUUAUCAAAGUCUGUUUCCUUUUCUUGGAAAUACAAUUGUCUUGGUCUGUUUGGGGUGCUAUCACAAAAUAUCAUAGACUAGGUGGCUUAAACAAAAAAAAACAUUUCUUUCUCACAGUUCUGGAGGCUGGGAAGUCCAAGAUCAAGGCAUUAGCAGUUCAGUAUGGCUGUUCCUCACGUGGUGGCAGGGGCCAGGGAGUCCUCUGGGGUCUCUUUUAUAAGGACACU